rnacentral:rRNA from 1 species
GGAUUAGAUACCCUGGUAGUCCACGCCGUAAACGGUGGGCGCUAGGUGUGGGUUUCCUUCCACGGGAUCCGUGCCGUAGCUAACGCAUUAAGCGCCCCGCCUGGGGAGUACGGCCGCAAGGCUAAAACUCAAAGGAAUUGACGGGGGCCCGCACAAGCGGCGGAGCAUGUGGAUUAAUUCGAUGCAACGCGAAGAACCUUACCUGGGUUUGACAUACACCGGAAAGCCGUGGAGACACGGCCCCCCUUGUGGUCGGUGUACAGGUGGUGCAUGGCUGUCGUCAGCUCGUGCCG